UACAGAGGGGGCAAGCGUUAUUCGGAAUUAUUGGGCGUAAAGGGUGUGUAGGUGGCGCCGUAAGUCGGGUGUGAAAUCUCGGGGCUUAACUCCGAAACUGCAUUCGAUACUGCGGUGCUUGAGGACUGGAGAGGAGACUGGAAUUCUCGGUGUAGCGGUGAAAUGCGUAGAUAUCUGGAGGAACACCGGUGGCGAAGGCGGCAUCCUGGACCGGUAUUGACGCUGAUGCGCGAAAGCCAGGGGAGCAAACGGG
rnacentral:rRNA from 1 species